GACGAACGCUGGCGGCGUGCUUAACACAUGCAAGUCGAACGAUGACGACCGAGCUUGCUCGGUCUGAUUAGUGGCGAACGGGUGAGUAACACGUGAGCAACCUGCCCUUCACUCUGGGAUAACCUCGGGAAAUCGGGGCUAAUACCGGAUAUGAGCUCCUGUCGCAUGGCGGGGGUUGGAAAGUUUUUCGGUGAAGGAUGGGCUCGCGGCCUAUCAGUUUGUUGGUGAGGUAGUGGCUCACCAAGGCGAUGACGGGUAGCCGGCCUGAGAGGGCGACCGGCCACACUGGGACUGAGACACGGCCCAGACUCCUACGGGAGGCAGCAGUGGGGAAUAUUGCACAAUGGGCGAAAGCCUGAUGCAGCGACGCCGCGUGGGGGAUGACGGCCUUCGGGUUGUAAACCUCUUUCAGCAGGGAAGAAGCGAAAGUGACGGUACCUGCAGAAGAAGCGCCGGCUAACUACGUG
rnacentral:rRNA from 1 species